rnacentral:rRNA from 1 species
CUACGUGCCAGCAGCCGCGGUAAUACGGAAGGUCCAGGCGUUAUCCGGAUUUAUUGGGUUUAAAGGGAGCGUAGGCGGACUGUUAAGUCAGCGGUUAAAGAGUGUGGCUCAACCAUACGAUGCCGUUGAAACUGGUGGUCUUGAGUGCACACAGGGAUGCUGGAACUCGUGGUGUAGCGGUGAAAUGCUUAGAUAUCACGAUGAACUCCGAUCGCGAAGGCAGGUGUCCGGGGUGUAACUGACGCUGAGGCUCGAAAGUGUGGGUAUCAAACAGGAUUAGAUACCCUGGUAGUCCACACAGUAAACGAUGAAUACUCGCAGUUUGCGAUAUAGUGUAAGCUGCCAAGCGAAAGCAUUAAGUAUUCCACCUGGGGAGUACGCCGGCAACGGUGAAACUCAAAGGAAUUGACGGGGGCCCGCACAAGCGGAGGAACAUGUGGUUUAAUUCGAUGAUACGCGAGGAACCUUACCCGGGCUUGAAC